ACGUAAUAGAUACCCAGGUAGUCCACGCCCUAAACGAUGUCUACUAGUUGUUGGUGGAGUAAAAUCCAUGAGUAAACGCAGCUAACGCGUGAAGUAGACCGCCUGGGGAGUACGGUCGCAAGAUUAAAACUCAAAGGAAUUGACGGGGGCCCGCACAAGCGGUGGAUUAUGUGGAUUAAUUCGAUGCAACGCGAAAAACCUUACCUGGCCUUGACAUGCCACUAACGAAGCAGAGAUGCAUUAGGUGCCCGUAAGGGAAAGUGGACACAGGUGCUGCAUGGCUGUCGUCAGCUCGUGUCGUGAGGUGUUGGGUUAAGUCCCGCAACGAGCGCAACCCUUGCCAUUAAUUGCCAUCAUUUAGUUGGGCACUUUAAUGGGACUGCCGGUGACAAACCGGAGGAAGGUGGGGAUGACGUCAAGUCCUCAUGGCCCUUAUGGCCAGGGCUUCACACGUAAUACAAUGGUCGGUACAGAGAGUUGCCAACCCGCGAGGGGAGCUAAUCUCAGAAAGCCGAUCGUAGUCCGGAUUGUUCUCUGC
rnacentral:rRNA from 1 species